UACGUAGGGGGCAAGCGUUGUCCGGAUUCAUUGGGCGUAAAGAGCGUGUAGGCGGCCAGGUAGGUCGGUUGUGAAAACUGGAGGCUCAACCUUCAGAGGUCGACCGAAACCACCUGGCUAGAGUCCGGGAGAGGAGAGUGGAAUUCCUGGUGUAGCGGUGAAAUGCGCAGAUAUCAGGAGGAACACCGAUGGCGAAGGCAGCUCGCUGGGCCGUAACUGACGCUGAGGAGCGAAAGCGUGGGGAGCGAACAGG
rnacentral:rRNA from 1 species